AUUUGCGGCUGUCACACGACUCAUGUGCAAUAAUCGUCUCAAAAGUUGCGAUUAAGUGAAUUCUGCACCCAAGAAAUAACUUUUUCCCUCCUCUCCCCUCUAUAAAUACAACUCCAAAUUAAUCACUUGGAUUAAUACAAAUCAUAUUUUUGUCAAUUCUUUGUCGUGUCCACUCAUAAAAAAUUAGAGUCAUCUCUCUCUCUCUCUCCCUUCAACUUUGUCGAUUGAGUAUCUUAUUCAAACGUUGUAAACUCAUUCGUACUUUAAAAUUAAAUUAUUUUUUUGUUGAUCAAGAAAUGGAAAUAACUUUAUCGAUCUCUUGUUCUAAGAAUCCAAAUUUUUAUACUAGGCGCUUGUGGAUCGAUCCUCCCUCAAGUCCCACUAGCCUGAAACGAAAGGCGAGGCUAGCGGUUAAUGCGAGAAGAAAUCGAGAUGGUUAUUAUGGUGAAAGCAAGAUAGUGGAUGAAAACAUGAUAGUUCUCCGAAUGCGUAUCAAAGAAAUGAAGAUAUCAUCAUCACAAGCUGGUCAAUUACAUAAUUUUAAAAAUUGGAUGGAAUUUGAGAAGAAGUAUUACUCACAGUUAUAAUGAGGUUGUUUUUGAAAUUGUAAGGUUGUUACAAAUGUGCUUGAUAGAGACUAGGCCAGCUUUGGCUUUAGGGAUAGCAGCACUUUUUUCUUUAAGUGUGCCUAUCUCAACUUACUUUUUGAUAGUCCAUGCCAUGGAUAUUGCCAAGAGUUUACUGUAAUUGCACCAAUUACACUUAAGCUUGGUGUUUAGCUACUACUUGAAAGAAUGGCACAUGAUCUUUGAUCCCUAGGAUUUUAACUUGGCGGUUUUGAUCUUUAAGAUAGGUAUUGUUCGAUUUCGCAAUUUUAGCUAUUGUUCGAUUUCGCAAUCUUAGGUUAGAGUCUCUCUCUAAUUUGCUUUUUUCUUCACAGCCGUGUGAUGCAGCUAGCAGCUAGCAGAUCCAUGGAUGCAAGCUUUUCUAGCUCUAGUAAUCUUGUAAUAUGAUUAAUUGACUAAAGUGGAUUGUUGACAUUUCAGUUGAUGACCUUUACUUGUCUUAAUAUUUUGUAGUUUAAUGGAACGUUGAUAUUUCUCAAUUUUGA